rnacentral:rRNA from 1 species
GACGAACGCUGGCGGCGUGCUUAACACAUGCAAGUCGAGCGGUAAGGCCCUUUCGGGGGUACACGAGCGGCGAACGGGUGAGUAACACGUGGGUGACCUGCCCUUAGCUCUGGGAUAAGCCUGGGAAACUGGGUCUAAUACCGGAUAUGACUCCAUAACGCAUGUUGUGGGGUGGAAAGCCUUGUGCGGCUAGGGAUGGGCCCGCGGCCUAUCAGCUUGUUGGUGGGGUGAUGGCCACCAAGGCGACGACGGGUAGCCGGCCUGAGAGGGCGACCGGCCACACUGGGACUGAGACACGGCCCAGACUCCUACGGGAGGCAGCAGUGGGGAAUCUCGCGCAAUGGGCGAAAGCCUGACGCAGCGACGCCGCGUGGGGA